rnacentral:rRNA from 1 species
AUGCAAGUCGAACGGCACCAUAAGUGCUUGAACCUGAUGGCGAGUGGCGAACGGGUGAGUAAUGCAUCGGAACGUGCCCAGUCGUGGGGGAUAACGCAGCGAAAGUUGUGCCAAUACCGCAUACGAUCUAUGGAUGAAAGCGGGGGACCUUCGGGCCUCGCGCGAUUGGAGCGGCCGAUGUUAGAUUAGGUAGUUGGUGGGGUAAAGGCUCACCAAGCCGACGAUCUAUAGCUGGUCUGAGAGGACGACCAGCCACACUGGAACUGAGACACGGUCCAGACUCCUACGGGAGGCAGCAGUGGGGAAUUUUGGACAAUGGGCGCAAGCCUGAUCCAGCAAUACCGCGUGCAGGAAGAAGGCCUUCGGGUUGUAAACUGCUUUUGUACGGAACGAAAAGGCUCUUUCUAAUAAAGAGGGCUCAUGACGGUACCGUAAGAAUAAGCACCGGCUAACUACGUGCUAGCAGCCGCGGUAAUACGUAGGGUGCGAGCGUUAAUCGGAAUUACUGGGCGUAAAGCGUGCGCAGGCGGUUUUGUAAGACAGACGUGAAAUCCCCGGGCUCAACCUGGGAAUUGCGUUUGUGACUGCAAGGCUAGAGUACGGUAGAGGGGGGUAGAAUUCCGUGUGUAGCAGUGAAAUGCGUAGAUAUGCGGAGGAACACCGAUGGCGAAGGCAGCCCCCUGGACCUGUACUGACGCUCAUGCACGAAAGCGUGGGGAGCAAACAGGAUUAGAUACCCUGGUAGAAGGGCG